UCGGGAAUUUUGGGCAAUGGGCGAAAGCCUGACCCAGCAACGCCGCGUGAAGGAUGAAGUCUCUCGGGAUGUAAACUUCGUAAGAAUAGGAAGAAUAAAUGACGGUACUAUUUGUAAGGUCCGGCUAACUACGUGCCAGCAGCCGCGGUAAUACGUAGGGACCAAGCGUUGUUCGGAUUUACGUGGGCGUAAAGGGCGCGUAGGCGGCGUGGUAAGUCACUUGUGAAAUCUCCGAGCUUAACUCGGAACGGUCAAGUGAUACUGCUGUGCUAGAGUACAGAAGGGGCAAUCGGAAUUCUUGGUGUAGCGGUGAAAUGCGUAGAUAUCAAGAGGAACACCUGAGGUGAAGACGGGUUGCUGGGCUGAUACUGACGCUGAGGCGCGAAAGCUAGGGUAGCAAA
rnacentral:rRNA from 1 species